AAGUAUCCCGCCUGGGGAGUACGGCCGCAAGGCUAAAACUCAAAGGAAUUGACGGGGACCCGCACAAGCGGUGGAGCAUGUGGUUUAAUUCGACGAUAAGCGAGGAACCUUACCAAGGCUUGACAUCUAGCUGCAAGCCCCUAGAAACAGGGGCCGCCUUCGAGGGUGCUAGACAGGUGCUGCAUGGUUGUCGUCAGCUCGUGUCGUGAGAUGUACGGUUAAGUCCGGCAACGAGCGCAACCCCUGCCCUAAUUUGUACUUUAUUAGGGUACUGCCGUGUUUAACACGGAGGAAGGUGGGGACGACGUCAAAUCAGCAUGGCCCUCACGCCUUGGGCGACACACAUACUACGAUGGCUAGUACAAAGGGUUGUUAAACCGAGAGGUGGAGCUAAUCCCAUCAAAGCUAGUCUCAGUUCGGAUUGAGGUCUGCAACUCGACCUCAUGAAGUUGGAAUCGCUAGUAACUGUGAAUCAGCCACGUCACAGUGAAUACGUUCUCGGGUCUUGUACACACCGCCCGUCACGUCAAGAGAGUCGGUAAUACCCGAAUGCCGUUGUAGUA
rnacentral:rRNA from 1 species